GUUCUCGUAUCCGCUAUAGUCCACUCUUGUUGAAAUUGCAGUUUUCUGUUUUAAGUCUCACGUUGCAACUUACAUAAAGUCAUGUUGUUUGUCAUUAUAAAUAACGAAAAAUCUCAAGAACGGGUUGCUGAUCAAUGUAACCCCAGACAUCAAAUGGAUGGCCCCCCUGACCGGUCACUACGAUACGAAAAGCAUGAUUUAAACAAUCACGAAAUCCAAACAAACAAGUAUAAUCCGAAUCAUGUAAUAAAAAAAUGAAAUUGUUUUUUUGAAUGAUAAAUAAACAAUCGUUUAUAUUGAGUAAUA